ACAAUCAUGUGAAUAACUCAUAAUCAUAAUUGUGAUUCUAAAUUUCUCUUCGUACCCAGGACGAAGAUUAUUUUCAUCACCUAUCUUUACCUGAAACAUCAAAGAUCAUGGUUAUACCAAAUCACAGUUCUUGUUCAUAAUCAUACUAAUAAAUUUAUCUUUGCACUACGGGCCAAAGAUAUUCAUUAACAGUUCAUCUUUGCACUACAGGCCAAAGACACACAACUGUAUUUUAGAAGAGUCAAGUAGAGCAUGAUAUCUACUAUCUUCUACGAAUUAAAAGUUUAUUAUCAAUAUUUUAUCGCUGAGACUCAGCUCAAUACAUCACCGAAUUAUCAAUGCACUACGGCCAAGGAUAUUCGUUAGUAUCACAUCCAUGAAUUAUCCAUGCACUACGGGCCAAGGAUAUUCAUUAGAAUCACGACCACGAAUUAUCCAUGCACUACGGGC
rnacentral:lncRNA from 1 species